UUUUCGUAGGUGAACCUGCGAAAGGAUCAUUAUCGGCACAUCCCAACACUGUCAAAUGUGAAAGGCGUCAGCCCUGCGCUCGCAGGCGACGCCGGAGUUUCGAAAGCAUGCGUGGUGGACGGCUCGGUUCCCGCGUCGAUGAAGGACGUAGCGAGAUACGAAAGGUGUUGCGAAUUGCAAGAUUUCGCGAGUCAAUGACCAUCCGAAUGCAUCGCCGCCCUCCCCUCGCCUUCGGGCGGAGGGAGGACGCGUCGGCGACAUCGCCCUGCACAUCAGCGCUCUCCCCUCGUCGCGGAGAGGCAGCGGUGGACGCGGCACCCGACUGCCCGUCGGCGUGCCCGUGCCAGCUCUCGCCGUCGCCGCCGCUCGGUCGAAUGACCCGCAGCGGACGCGGACACACAGAGACGCUGCGAUGUCGUCGGCGAGGAAACCCGCUGAACUUAAGCAUAUCAUUAAGCGG
rnacentral:rRNA from 1 species